CCGAGCGGAGGAAGGGGAAGGCGGUGGUCGUCGUUCGAGUGGCCUCCUCAGGGUCAGAGUUGAGAAGGGGUGGUGGCUGCUCCUGCCUCCUCCGGAUCCUAGGGCCUGGACCAGCUUGUUCUGAUGCACUGGGUCGCGGUAGCAGAUAAACCAUGGGAACAGCUCUCCUUCCCUCUGCCUUUGAAUUUGUGUGGGGGGCCAGUGUGAGCAGUGAGUGCCCUCACCGGAUGCCCAGGUCCCAGAUGGGUCGCGUUGCACUGGCUCCUCCAAUGUGACUGUCAGGCUCAUAGGCGGAAGGGGCUUGCCUUGUCUCAGAUGAGACUUUGGACUUAGACUUUUGAGUUAAUGCUGGAAUGAGUUAAGACUUUGGGGGACUGUUGGGAAGGCAUGCUUGGCUUUGAAAUGUGAUGACAUGAGAUUUUGGAGGGGCCAGGGGUGGAAUGAUAUGGUUUGGCUCUGUCCUCACCCAAAUCUCAUUUCGAAUUGUAAUCCCCACAUGUGGGGGGAGGGGCCUGGUGGCAGGUGAUUGAAUCAUUGGGGUGGAGUUCCCGCUUGCUAUUCUUGUGAGAGUGAGUUCUCACAAGAUCUGGUUGUUCAAAAGUGUGUGGCACUUCCCUCUUCACUCUCGCUCUUUCCUGCUCCACCACGGGAAAAUGAGGUCACUUCUGACCCAGAGACUCUGUCAUCUUACCCUCUCCUGGGGGUCUUCAUCUAAAGAACUGCCACUGGGAUCAUACAGUGUGCUCUCAUCUGGAACUUCCCACAUCUCCACGUGCCCUCACCUUCAGUGAGAGUCUGAGAAGAAGCCGGGUGGGGUUGCUGCCCACAUGGUCGGGGCUGCUGCCAAUGCCACUCAUCUCACCGUCACUUGCUGCCUCUCUGCCUGCCCCCUGGUCCAUGGUUCUCUGACAUCUCUCUCUCCUUGAGGACUGUCCACUGAGAGGUCUGGAAACAAUGACACUCCAGGAACAAUGACACUCCAGAAACAAUGACACUCCAGGAACAAUGACACUCCAGAAACAAUGACACUCCAGGAACAAUGAGCACAUCUAGCACCCAGAUCUUGGCUUCUACACAUCAUUCUCUAUUAAAAGAAAGAAGCAUCCCUUGGAGCAAUGGCUGAUUCCAGAGCUGUGGCAGAGAAAUUACAAGAUAAGCCUGGAACAUCUUGCUGUGACAGAAAGUAAGCAAGUGCUCAAAGAAUUAUGGCAAUAGAAACCAGCUUGGCAACUGGACAAAAUCUGGGAAAUUGAGCAUCAAAAUAAAUAAUGAGGUAAUGAGGAAAACACUCAACAUCUGUAAUAUUGCUGUCAAAGUUGCAUAACCUACAUCUAAUCAUGAGGAAACAACACAUAAGCCAAAAUUAAGGGCCAUUCUACAAUAGCACUGUACUAUGCUUCUAAAUUGUCCUGGUCAUGAAAGCAAAGGAAAGGCUUAGGAAUCAUCUCAGACAGAAGGAGACUGGAAAGACGUGGCAACUAAAUGCAAUGAAUAAUCCUAGACUGGAUCCUUUGGUUAUAAAGGACAGCAUUGGGCCAAUUGAUGAAAGUCCAGUAAGGUCUGGGGGUUAUAUUGAACUAAUGUAUCAAUGUUCAUUUCCUGAUUGUGAGCAUUGUGUUAGAUUAUGAAGGAGGAUGUCCUCAUUUGUAGGAAAUAUAUAUUAAAAUAUUAGGGAGUCACCGGGCUCGGUGGCUCACGCUUGUAAUCCCAGCACUUUGGGAGGCCGAAGUGGGUGGAUCACGAGGUCAGGAGAUCGAGACCAUCCUGGCUAACACGGUGAAACCCCGUCUCUACUAAAAACAUUAAAAAAAAUUAGCUGGGCGUGGUGGCGGGUGCCUGUAGUCCCGGCUACUCAGGAGGUUGAGGCAGGAGAAUGGCGUGAACCCGGGAGGUGGAGCUUGCAGUGAGCCGAGAUCGCACCACUGCACUCUAGCCUGGGAGACAGAGAGAGACUCCGUCUCAAAUAAAAUAAAAUAAAAUAAAAAUAAUAAAAUAAAAUAAAAUAAUAUAAAAUAAAAUAAAAUAUUAGGGAGUAAUGAGGCAUCAUGGAGGCAACUUACUCAUAAGUGGUUCAGGAAAGGGGGAAAUUCUUUGUAUAUCAUUGUAACUUUUCUAUACCGUUGAAAUUAUUUCAAAAGAAAAAGACAAGGAAGGAGUGAAUGAAAUCCCUGAGGCAGUGGAGAAUGAGAGGAGGUUGAGGCAGUGCAAUAUCAACCACUGACACCAAAGGGUUCCAUAUGUGUAAGGAGAGGGCAGCUAAUAAUGUGUAAUAUUGCAAAAAGACAGAAGAGAAUUUUUAAAAAGGUAUUAAACUAUUUACAAAUUUUCUACAUUAUUAAUCAUGGCAGCAUCUUCAUACA
ensembl:lncRNA CDK5R2-AS1 CDK5R2 antisense RNA 1